UACGUAGGGGGCUAGCGUUGUCCGGAAUCAUUGGGCGUAAAGCGCGUGUAGGCGGUCCGGUAAGUCCGCUGUGAAAGUCGAGGGCUCAACCCUGGGAUGCCGGUGGAUACUGUCGAGCUCGAGUCCGGAAGAGGCGAGUGGAAUUCCUGGUGUAGCGGUGAAAUGCGCAGAUAUCAGGAGGAACACCAAUGGCGAAGGCAGCUCGCUGGGACGUGACUGACGCUGAGACGCGAAAGCGUGGGAGCAAACAGG
rnacentral:rRNA from 1 species